rnacentral:rRNA from 1 species
UACGUAUGGGGCAAGCGUUAUCCGGAUUUACUGGGUGUAAAGGGGGCGCAGACGGCAGCGCAAGCCAGGAGUGAAAGCCCGGGGCCCAACCCCGGGACUGCUCUUGGAACUGCGCGGCUGGAGUGCAGGAGGGGCAGGCGGAACUCCUGGUGUAGCGGUGAAAUGCGUAGAUAUCAGGAGGAACACCGGUGGCGAAGGCGGCCUGCUGGACUGCGACUGACGUUGAGGCCCGAAAGCGUGGGGAGCAAACAGG